AUCCAUCUGACGAGUCCUAAAAUAGGACGAAAUGCGUGUCCUGGAU
rfam:Schistosoma mansoni, Puerto Rico, WGS project CABG01000000 data, contig: 0049